rnacentral:lncRNA from 1 species
AUUUUUUAUACAUCUCAAUGUGAAUAUGAAGUCAGUCCUCCCAUGAACAGGUUUGAAUUUAGCAGUUUACAAGAGAGAAGAACAUGAGU